rnacentral:snRNA from 1 species
GUGCUUGCUUCAGCAGCACAUAUACUAAAACUGGAAUGAUACAGACAAGAUUAGCAUGGCCCCUGCUCAAGGAUGACACGCAAAUUCGUGAAGCGUUCUGUAUUUUU